UACGAAGGGGGCUAGCGUUGUUCGGAUUUACUGGGCGUAAAGCGCACGUAGGCGGAUCUUUAAGUCAGGGGUGAGAUCCCGAGGCUCAACCUCGGAACUGCCUUUGAUACUGGGGAUCUCGAGUCCGGGAGAGGUGAGUGGAACUGCGAGUGUAGAGGUGAAAUUCGUAGAUAUUCGCAAGAACACCAGUGGCGAAGGCGGCUCACUGGCCCGGUACUGACGCUGAGGUGCGAAAGCGUGGGGAGCAAACAGG
rnacentral:rRNA from 1 species